rnacentral:rRNA from 1 species
AAGGGCACCACCAGGAGUGGGGCCUGCGGGUUAAUUUGACUCAACACGGGAAAACUCACCCGGCCCGGACACUGUAAGGCGCCCGCCGGCGGUCGACUUUCUUAAUUCAGUGGGUGGUGGUGCAUGGCCGUUCUUAGUUGGAGGAGCGAUUUGGCGGGCCAAUUCCGGGAUCAAAGGAGAAUUUGGUCUAUCCAAUAGGACAAGUACUCUUAAGGACCUCUCGCUUCUAACAGGGACAAGUGGCGUCCAGUCCUGUGAAAAAGAGGAAUAUCUGGUCUGCUAUGCCCUUAGAUGUCCGGGGCUGCACGCGCGCUACACUGUAAAGAAUCAGUGUGCCUAAUGCCUGACUUGGAAGAGCCGGUUGCCCAGCGCACUUCUUUCGCGUUUCGGAUAGGGAACUUGUAUUAUCUCCUUCAUACGAGGAUCUCCCAAUGCACGCGGGUCAUAAGCUCGCGUUGAUUACGUCCCUGCCCUUUGUCCACACACUGACGUCGCUACUACCGAUUGGAUGACUUAGUG